rnacentral:rRNA from 1 species
UACGUAGGGUGCAAGCGUUGUCCGGAAUUAUUGGGCGUAAAGAGCUCGUAGGCGGUCUGUUGCGUCGGCUGUGAAAACCCGGGGCUCAACUCCGGGCCUGCAGCCGAUACGGGCAGACUAGAGUUCGGCAGGGGAGACUGGAAUUCCUGGUGUAGCGGUGAAAUGCGCAGAUAUCAGGAGGAACACCGGUGGCGAAGGCGGGUCUCUGGGCCGAUACUGACGCUGAGGAGCGAAAGCGUGGGGGCGAACAGG